rnacentral:rRNA from 1 species
GACGAACGCUGGCGGCGUGCUUAACACAUGCAAGUCGAGCGGAAAGGCCCUUCGGGGUACUCGAGCGGCGAACGGGUGAGUAACACGUGAGUAACCUGCCCCAGACUUUGGGAUAACCCUCGGAAACGGGGGCUAAUACCGGAUACGACACAGCUUCGCAUGGGGUCUGUGUGGAAAGUUUUUCGGUUUGGGAUGGGCUCGCGGCCUAUCAGCUUGUUGGUGGGGUGAUGGCCCACCAAGGCGACGACGGGUAGCCGGCCUGAGAGGGCGACCGGCCACACUGGGACUGAGACACGGCCCAGACUCCUACGGGAGGCAGCAGUGGGGAAUAUUGCACAAUGGGCGGAAGCCUGAUGCAGCGACGCCGCGUGAGGGAUGACGGCCUUCGGGUUGUAAACCUCUUUCAGCAGGGACGAAGCGUAAGUGACGGUACCUGCAGAAGAAGCGCCGGCCAACUACGUG